GUGUAGCGCAGCUUGGCUAGCGCGCUUGAAUGGGGUUCAAGAGGUCGUGGGUUCAAAUCCCGCCACCCCGA
rnacentral:tRNA from 1 species